ensembl:lncRNA
UCCACCCCUUCUGGUUGCACAGCUGAAUUGCCUUCACCUGUGCUCCCAGGGUUGACCUGGUCCUUUCCCCAGAGUCCUGCGACCUGCAGAAGAUUUAUAACUGUUGCUGAGAAGCAGGUGCCAGAAUGGCCAUGGUAGAUUGGGAAAUUGCAUUCCCCUGAGAUAAAUCCAGUUCCAGGAGAUGGUCAGGGCUAGUCCAGAACUUUGAAGAGAGCACAGUCAACUUGAAUCCCAACUGCUGAAAUUUAAGACUGUGAAAGACACUCACUCCUCUGAGGUGGUAGAUGAAUGAAAUCCACCCCAGUCCCCCACCACAGACUUGGGAGGCCAAAUGCUUUGACUGAAGGAUCAUAGAAAUCAGAACGUAUCCACACAAAGCAACGCUAUGUGUGUAUUCAGGGUGGCAUUGGCAUUCUAUAGUCAGUUCUCCCCUUGCUACCUGCUGCACCGAAGUCUUUGCAAGGAGAAAAGUCUAAUUUAGAAGAACCACAAACCUCCAAGAAACUCAACUCGUAUUUCCUUUUAAAGCUUGCUGAGAUCAGCAGAAUGAAGUCGCUCUGAGAACAUGGAGAAGAUAUCACUAGAGAAAUAAAAACUGGGAGAAGUGCCAAACUAAAGUCACGUUGUGUGGAGAUAACCACACGUAAAAUGUUACCAUGUCUGUUUGAAGGCUUGCACUCUAAUCUAUUUGUGUCUCCAACAGCUGCAGCUGAAACCAGCAAUCAACAAAGCCCCUUGUUUUUAUUGGAGUUGAAGUGGCUUGUUGAAAAUGGAUUGGAUUACGGGGAUCAAUCAGCAGCAGGUCGAGGAUGCAGAGGGAGCUCUGCCAAUGCAGCAGGCUGCCAGGAGCAGCAAAAAUCCUUGGGCUAGUGACACGUCCUAAUGUAUUGGAAAAUCCACUGUUUUACAAAGAGCUUUGGAGAUAGGAAGUGGAUCAAGUUGCAGAAGAGUGCAAAAAUAACAGUAAUUUUCUCCCAAGUUCCUUUUGUUAAUUUGUACUUGGCUUUAAGGAAAUAAAUUCCAUAGAGAUGCUGCCUGAGUGUCCAGCCAGUGUCUGGAGACGACUGGGAAUAGGACAGAUGCUAAAGCAUGAUCUUUCCUGAGUCACAAUUUAGGAAACAGAACAUUUCUGAAUUUCAAUAGCAGCCAUCUUGGCAAUCUGAAAGUUGCCAUGUAGUUCUGUUCUCUCCAGUUCUGGAUGCUCCCUAAAUAAUGACGAUUGUUGUUGCUUUCCAUUAAAUUACUGAAUU